CCAAGCAGCAAGUGUAAUUGAAGGGAAAUGCUCUAUCCAGAUACCAAGAGGACUAGUCACGAGACCAGGCCUCAAAACAGGAAAAUGGUUCCAAUGGAGAAGUAGAGUAUGAGUCAAGAAUUGAGAGAUGAGCAAUAUACAUUAGCAUUAUAAAACACUAAAGAAAGUAUACAUGCCUAGAGCCUCUGAGGCACACUACAAAGAAGAUGACCUGAAAAGUGACUGCUUACAGGGUCCACAUAUAGGUGACAUGAAAGUUCCCUCAGCCUUGUCAGUAUGAAUGAGCCUGUAAAGUGAAGAUGAAUGAGAAAGGGAUUAGAUGAGUCAUCUGAGUCUGUAAGGCCCUUGCAACAAGAGCAUGAAGAUGAUAAAAGAGGACAGAAAGGGAACAAGUUGGGUGAAAAGAAAACAAUGAAUUAGGGUGAAAAGAUCAAGCCAGUGACCAAACUCUCUACAACUAGAAAAGACUUAUCAGUUUCUCAUGAAUUCGAAGUUGUUUUAACAUUAGAAAAUCAACUGAUGUGAUUCAGCACAUUUACUGAAUAUUAUGAUGACCUGGGCAGAGUCAGAAAAGACAACUGACAAAAUUCAGAUCCUGUUGAGAUAAAUAUUAGCAAACAACCUAGAAAAUCAAGCAUUAUAUUUAAUGGUGAAACAUUAAACAUUUCCUUCUGAGACUUGGAAUGGACAAGGAUGACAUCAUUACUUCUAUUCAACGUUGUACUGAAGGCCCCAGACACUACAGUAAGACAAAAACAGAAUGGAAGAUAAAAGGAUUGGAAAGAAAGAAACCAAACUGUCAUAACUCACAGAUCAGGUAGUGGCUAUAUGCAUACUGGCUUUGUAAUCGUUGCUUAAGCCGUAUUUGUGCUGUGCAUUUUUUAUUAACUCCUAUGCAUCGCCAGGACCCUGAAGGUGUCAUACUCUUCCUGACAGGACCUACCAGCUUGACGGAGAGCUCUAUCCCCAUUUCCUAAAGAAGAAACCUGAUCCUUGGAAAUGUUCAGUGGCUGCCCCAAGAUGUCGGCACAACCUCUUGUGCUCUUGCCUCCUGCCACAAGAACAUAUGUCCCAGAAAAGGGCCACUCCAUCAGCCUAGGUCCAGAAAUGAGAGGACACAUGGACUGAACUUGAAGAUGGCCCACAGCAGACCUGCAGUCAACUCUCAGCCUUUAUGUAAUGCGGGAAAGAAGGAAAUGUGAAUAUUAUAGACUACUAAAAUUCUAAAGUUGUAACAUAGCAAAAUGAUCGAUACAAUUAGCAGUGGCAAUCAGUCUAGCAUAUUGUCAUGCUAUAUGCAUGCUAUAAAACUAUUGAACAAAAAUAUCACUAUCCUAUCAUGGACACAUUGGACUUUUCUUUUCUCCUUAUGACUGCAUCACGUGUGAUGAUCAGAAAUGGAGUGAAGACAGAAAAAUAAGAAAAUUCAAGAAUGUGCUACAGAGUGAUCCUCUCCCUCUUAGAGCACCCACAGAAACCACUCAUGGCUUCUCUGUCUGCAUCCUCUCCACACAAACAUAUUCUUUAAGGUACCAGCCCCAUAUCACAUACCUGUAUGUCAGCCCAUAAUAGGCCUUACCUUAGAAGCCAAAGAUCCAUAACUACACAGUAUUCAUGUUGUAUAAUGUGGAGCAGCACCAAAAAAUAAAGUGGCAGACAAUAAUGCCUAUGACUAAAGUGACCCCUUGAUCCCCUCCCAAAGCAGUCUCCAUAUCAUAACUGUCAAUUGUAAAAAUAGUAUGUAUUUUAUAUAUUCUCCCUAAUAGGUAACUCUGUAUUUUAAAAUCUUAGGCUCCAAGUUUUAAUCUACUUCGUCCCAUCGGAGUACUUUUUUUCAAUUUUCUCAUUUACAAGGCCAUUUUUAUUUUUGCCUCACUCUGUGCUGAUGGCCCCAGAUCUACUCAGUCAGUUUCUUCUCUUCUAUGAUGUCUAUAUUCAGACACCUAGGAGAUUGACAACUCCUAGAAAUACCACUCACUCAACUGCUCCUUUCCCCUUCUUUCGUACUUGGGCAUAAACUUUACUGUAUCUUAAACACAUCUUCCUAAAUGCCUCACGACUAUGAUAAACUUGACAUGCUUACAACUGAGGGGAUCUUGUCC